rnacentral:lncRNA from 1 species
AAACAUCCAGCACAAUGAACUGCAAAAAGUGUAACCUACAAAAACACCAGAGUUCCAUGAAUGCUGCAUCACAAGAAACAGCAAAACUUUCAGGUAAAUUUUCCCAUUAUGUUCUGUUAUACUUACACAGAUAAGCUUUGCACAUCGAACCCAAAAGUAGUUGUAAUUCUUGUCUUUCUCCAUUCUGUUGUAAUAAAACAACGCCAUGUCAUAAAUAUACCGAAAGUCAAUUCAAACCAAACCGUUAUCACCAGUUGAUGAAGGUGAAAACAACUCUUGUACCUGGAAAACAAUGCACUAACUCUGCGCAGACGCCAAAGGCGAAGCAUAUUGAAC